rnacentral:tRNA from 1 species
GUCCCUGUAGCGCAACGGAUAGAGCAUCAGUUUCCGGAACUGAAAAUGUGGGUUCAAUUCCCGCCAGGGACACAA